GUGAGCGUGUGUGCGGUGGCUCAGCCAGAUGUGAUUCCUGGCGCUGAGGGGGAAUCUCAUCUAUUUUUCAGAGCUCCCGUUUGGCUUCCAAAACCACUUUUGGUGAGCGCUUAAAACUGAGGUGAAGCCAUGGACAGGUUGAAGAGCGCACACACACACGCCGAUGACGGCGGGGCCGAGCAUGGAGACAAUCCAGACGUCGGAGCUUGAUGGAAGGCGACGUUGGAGAAGGUGUAGCGUGGUAGCGGGGAAGCUAAUUAACCACCGUCAGCGUUAAAUGAGCCGAUGAUGGAGGGCGGCCCUCCCGCUGUGCCAUGAGUCAGCAUUUGAAUUCUGAGCUGCGCGAAGAAGAAGACGGCGGCCUUCGAAACGGAACUUCUUUCAAGUGGAUUUGCAGAGUAGCCCAGGCUUGUCAGGCACGUAUUCCAACAUUUUGAUGAAUGAGCGAUUUCUUUGGAGCGACAGAAAAAAGGUAAUUCAAGGGAGAUGUUUUUUAGGGGGGGGGGUUUCCUGAAAAGAAGCAGACAUUUUUAGGAAGCGCAAUGUACGGCAGCUACGUUCCCUGUCGCCCUUCGGAAUAAUUAUUGAUCCUCUUUGCCGCAUUCUUUCAUAGCGGACGUAGAAACGGACUGAAGGAGAUGAAUGUUUGGCUGUGCAAAGAUUCCAGCUUCUCAAAUGGAAGCCGCAUAAAAAUCACUUUCCCUUUUCAAAAUGUCACAGUUGGAACGUGGCCCCGAUGUUUGUUGCUGCUGCUACUGCUGCUGCUUUUAAUUCUGAGCUCAGCGUCCGCCCUCUCAAGCGCACAUCAGGGAGGACACACACAGACACAAAAACACAGCAACAACAUUCAACAGUAGCAGAACUGGCACGACUGGACGCGCACGAACAUUCCUAACCUCUUCCUGCGUGCCGCCAUUUAUAUUCUACACAGGCAAAGAUGCCCUGAACCCGCUGAAACACAUUUGUGGCGGACAAACAAGCUUUUGGCACAGGCGGGGCAGCGUCAGGCGGUCACGUGACCGCCGCCCGUAUUGCGCACAUGCCGUGUGGGGUGGCUUCAUUAACGGGGCAAGCAAUUUCUGGUUAUUAAAUCAAAUGGGAGCGCGAGGCAUGUGCCAGGAGAUGCAAUAUGGACGACGCCGCCGUUUCCCCAAGCCAAGGAGCAUAUUUGAGAUGAGGAAAAAGGUCAUAGCACAAAAGCGGCAUCGUCACUCCACCAGCGCGGCUCAAGGGCGCCCUCUGGCAGGCCAGAAGAGACACUGCACCCAGAGUUGGCUCGAUGCAUCGAUAUUUGGGAAAAUCAGCUCGUUUGCUUUGUCAUUUUUGUUUUUAGUUAAACACGGAUAAGGAAAAUGGGUAUUUCAUUUUUUUUUAAUUAUUUGUAUCCCUUUCAUGAGCUGUAACCUUAAUGUUAAUGUGUCCCAAUGAUGCUUGAAGUUGUCACGUCCGUUCCAGAGCACGCUCGGCCUGCACUUCCCUCGGCCGCACCCCUUUCGUUACUGUAAUGUUUGUCACCUGCUUCCUCUUGUUACCCUGUGUAUUUAAGCCCUGCCCGUGUGCCUCUCCCGGUCCGUGUCUACUGUUCUGUUCCGGUCCGUGCCCAGUGUUCCUGUUCCUGUCGUCUGGUUUUCCCCCGGUCUGUCUGGACGCUCACGGUCAGAAUUUUAACCUCUUGUCCAAGUGGACUUCUGUCUUUCUGUCGGUCAGUCGGUCUGUUUGCUGGCCGUUAGUCUCUAUCCCGUCUGUGUCUUCGGUUCCCCACCUACCUCCCUUCCAACUCCCUUUCCCUUUCCUGGUUCAAGCUGCAUUCCUGACCGAGGUUGCCUGGGGCUUUAUGCAGCGGUCGCUUCUCCGGCCCUAAUAAAAAAAAAAAAUGAAAACAAGUGUACUAUGUGUGUGAUAGUUACGCUUUAUAAAUUCAUUCAUGCAUUUAUUCAUCAUCCAAAAUGCCUAUCUAUUGCUAUUCUCCGCAUGUCAAAAUGUAUAAAGAUUUUUGGGGGGCUGGGACGGAUUAAUGGCAUUAUAGUUCAUUUCAACGCGGGAAAUAAGGGAGCUCUGCAUGCUUAUUGUAGAUAUUGUGAUUUACGGUCGCGUCAAACUGCACUGCAUCAUACUGAGAAGUGAAAUUAUUUUGGUCCCCCUAUAGCACCACUCACAAAUCACAUCCAUUUGAGACGGAGCGUGCUCAUUAGCAUUUUCAAAACUAAUGAAAGCAGUCGCCGCGCACGGAAACCAAUCGGGGAACGGUUGCUAUUAGUUACCACUAUGAAAAAGAAAUACAAAAUAUAAAGCUCUUAAUCAUAGCGUAGUGUUAACAUUACGAUGUGUGAAGAGGAGGAGGAGGAGGAGGGGGAGGAAGAUAAGGUGGAGAUGCUAAAGUGGCGCUUUGAAAGGAUCUCUGCGGGAGUAAUGCAGACCUCUCGCGCUUUCCUGGCCUCAUACGCGAUGGCCUGUGCAAAAUGCAAUUUUGCACGCAUUCCCCGUGACGCAAUACGCUGUUAUUUCCACAUCUAAUGGCAGUGUUUAUCCCGCGCAUACGCAUCACUUCCUUCAGCCUCACUGCGUGGCGUGCAGACGUUCUGCACAAGGUUUGAGAACUGCACGUGGUAAUGAAACCUUUGACAGCAAGUAACCAUCAAAAACGUGCCUGAGCUUUAGUUAAUAUGCAUGGACCUGACUCAAAGGGCCUUUGGAAAGUACAAAAAAAAUACCACUCAAAGCUUGACCACAUUUUGUAAUGGAGAGCUAUAAAACAAACCAAGGGAUAUGCACUUCUUUUUUUUUUUUUUUAACAACCUUGGCUCACUGUCCCUUAAAUGGCACUUCCAAGUACACUUCCUCGUCUUCCAACCGAUACGAAGUGAAGUGAUCGUGUUUAUUGGAACCCAAAUCCCGCGGUCGCUGCAGAUUUUCUCAGGCAACGCUCACCGUUGAUGGCAAAGUGUCUACCCUCGGAUAGGGCCAUUUGAAAAUAUUUUUUCACAUUUAGUUCCUGGCAUGGCCAAGCUAAAGCUGUUUGCAGGCCCAGCUUUAUGCCCAUUAACUGCUUUGGAAAGGUUACACCAUCUUAUUAUUAGCCAAUAAAAUCCCAUCAUUUUGUGCUGGCCUUUUCCUACCUCCAGCCGCGGCUUCCAAUAAAAGAGACACACGCUCAUAACCACAGUUAACAAGACAGUGGACAAAAUGAUGGCAUAAAAAUGAUGAAAGGAGUGAGGCUAAACAUUGAAGAUUUCAUUUGUCUUUAUUUCCAUGCCUCCUUUUUUUUCCAGUCUGAACUGGUUUUGUCCAGUUUGAACAAUGCUCAUGGUGCAAGCAGAUUGGGAGAUGCAAGACCGCAGCAGGAGGCGGUUUACUUCAGUAAACAACUAAGGCUCAGGUUCAGGAGUGUCCACAUGUCCCGGAUGUCGAUCUCGGGGUUUACAUGUGGUGACAGCUGAAACAGACCAACACAGAAAAAAUCAUCUCAUUUAAUCCAACAAUGACCAAUAAAGUGAACGAGGAGCACACUUUUGGGACAAUGGUGUCCAGUUCUGCGGCACAAUAAAAGUUGGUCUUAUAAAAAAAAAAAAAAAAA